rnacentral:tRNA from 1 species
GGGGAUUUAGCUCAGUGGUAGAGUGCUUGCCUAGCGAGCACGAGGCCCUGGGUUCGGUCCCCAGCUCCU